rnacentral:rRNA from 1 species
CCUACGGGAGGCAGCAGUGAGGAAUAUUGGACAAUGGGCGCAAGCCUGAUCCAGCCAUGCCGCGUGCAGGAUGACGGUCCUAUGGAUUGUAAACUGCUUUUAUACAGGAAGAAACACCUCUACGAGUAGAGACUUGACGGUACUGUAAGAAUAAGGAUCGGCUAACUCCGUGCCAGCAGCCGCGGUAAUACGGAGGAUCCAAGCGUUAUCCGGAAUCAUUGGGUUUAAAGGGUGCGCAGGUGGGAAUGUAAGUCAGUGGUGAAAUGCUGCCGCUUAACGGUAGAAUUGCCAUUGAUACUGCGUUUCUUGAGUAUGGUUGAGGUAGGUGGAAUGUGUUGUGUAGCGGUGAAAUGCAUAGAUAUGACACAGAACGCCGAUUGCGAAGGCAACUUACUAAGCCAUUACUGACGCUGAGGCACGAAAGCGUGGGUAGCGAACAGGAUUAGAUACCCUGGUAGUCCACGCCGUAAACGAUGUUCACUCGCUGUUUGCGAUACACAGUAAGCGGCUGAGCGAAAGCAUUAAGUGAACCACCUGGGGAGUACGAUCGCAAGGUUGAAACUCAAAGGAAUUGACGG